rnacentral:lncRNA from 1 species
CUCUGAGACACCCCAAGAACACUGUACCUCAUCCAAUCUUGUUACCAUGAACCGAAGUAUAAUCUUCCUCCUCCUCUGCAACACCCUGCUAGCUCUGACUAGGGCUCAAGCACCCUCACCACCCACAACCACCAGCUGUCGCUGCCCACAAGUUAAUAAGAGUAUUUCCAGCCUAAAACCUUUUGAGAAACUCGAUGUGGUUCUCCCCAGUUCUCUAUGUCCACGCCCUGAGAUCAUAGGCAUAGUGAAGGAUACUAAGGAACAAGUAUGUCUGAAUCCAGAUACCCCAACCAUGAAGGUUGUACUGAAAGCAAUUAGAAGAACAAGGUAAGUUUGCUCUCCAGGAAACCACUAGAAGU